rnacentral:rRNA from 1 species
UUACUCCUACGGGAGGCAGCUGUAGGGAAUCUUCCGCAAUGGACGAAAGUCUGACGGAGCAACGCCGCGUGAGUGAUGAAGGUUUUCGGAUCGUAAAGCUCUGUUGUUAGGGAAGAACAAGUGCGAGAGUAUCUGCUCGCACCUUGACGGUACCUAACCAAAAAGCCCCGGCUAACUCCGUGCCAGCAGCCGCGGUAAUUA